rnacentral:rRNA from 1 species
UAAGGAAUAUUGGACAAUGGAGGCAACUCUGAUCCAGCCAUGCCGCGUGAAGGAAUAAGGCCCUAUGGGUUGUAAACUUCUUUUAGACGGGACAAAACCCCUUUACGUGUAAAGGGUUGAUGGUACUGUCAGAAUAAGCAUCGGCUAACUUCGUGCCAGCAGCCGCGGUAAUACGAAGGAUGCAAGCGUUAUCCGGAAUUAUUGGGUUUAAAGGGUGCGUAGGCGGACUAAUAAGUCAGUGGUGAAAGCCUGCAGCUUAACUGCAGAAUUGCCAUUGAUACUGUUAGUCUUGAGUACAGUUGAGGUAGGCGGAAUGUGUCAUGUAGCGGUGAAAUGCUUAGAUAUGACACAGAACACCGAUUGCGAAGGCAGCUUGCUAGGCUGUAACUGACGCUGAGGCACAAAAGCGUGGGGAGCAAACA